rnacentral:rRNA from 1 species
UACAGGGGGUGCAAACGUUGCUCGGAAUCAUUGGGCGUAAAGCGCACGUAGGCGGUCUGUUAUGUCGGAUGUGAAAGCCCUUGGCUCAACUGAGGAAGUGCAUCCGAAACUGGCAGGCUAGAGUACGAAAGAGGAUCGCGGAAUUCCCGGUGUAGAGGUGAAAUUCGCAGAUAUCAGGAGGAACACCGGUGGCGAAGGCGGGUCUCUGGGCCGAUAUUGACGCUGAGGAGCGAAAGCGUGGGGAGCGAACAGG